UUGUUGAAUCAGUUAUUCAUGAAAAACCUUUCCUGUUAACAAGUUUGUAACUCAACUUGGUUUGCAAGUGAAACAUUCAUUGUGAUCGAAAGAUAAAACAAUUAGUGAUUUCAGUUGAUUCAGAUAAAUUGUAGAUACAAAGUUGGCUGAUAAAGUUAUCCCAAAAUUGUUGAUAAAAUCCUUUGCCUUUAAACCUACAAUUUAAGAUUAAUCUGGUUUGAUAUCACAUCGAAUUGAACAGAACAAGAAUCCAGAUUCAUCAUGGUUAAAUCAAACUUGAUUGUUUCUCUUUUCAUCUUAUUCUCAGUUCUCCUCAUUUUAAGCCCGCUUGCAUCAAGUCAUGUGAAUUCAAACGACGAUAGUAAGUGGAUACUAGGUGUCUCAGAAUUGAGAGAUCUUUAUGAACUAUUAAUGAGAAAUCAAGGUCCCGCACCCGAAGCGUACCUGCGAUUUGGCCAUCAAAUGGAGAGGAAAGGAGGUCGAUCUCCAGCUUUGAGAUUGCGGUUUGGACGAAGAUCGGAUCCAACUUGGGCCAAUCGUCCAAGCAUGACUGAGAUUGCCGAUGCUGCAUAAGAACUAUCAAUCGAAAUGUUAAGAAGUUUUCAAAUGAACGUCAAAAAGCAGACAAAAACAAAUUAAGAGCAACAACAAUCAAAUCAAUAAACAAUGAAAACUGUUUUUUCCUUCUUAUACAUAAAUAUUUACAUAAAGUUCAAGAAAGUCAACAAGUGAAAGCCAAUUCAUCAAUGGAUAGGAUUCAAUCUUUUAAUUACAGCCAAGUUUACCUUUGAAUAUCGCCAGUGAACAGAAGGUCUAUUUCAUGGGAUAUUAGGAAGAAUAUAAAGUGAUUAGAUGAAACAAAACUUGAUAAAUCAUUUUAUUAAUGUCUAUUUGUUGGUUUCAUAUUAAACUUCAAUUCCCGGUUCAGUUGUUAUCAGAUGAAAAUUUCUUUUGACAGAAAAAUUAUUUUUCGUUUUGUCCAUGGUUCUUCAUUCUUUUUCACUCAACUAAUAGAUAAUGUUCUUGUCUCAACUCUUCCAUGAUGAAAACAAUAAUCGCCAUUCAGACGAUGAAAAAAAGUUCAAUUUGAGUCAAUAAAGUUGACAAUUUUCUUUGUUUUGCAUUCCAUUUCACUUUGUAAUUCGUUCUUUUCCUCAAAGUUUGUCAUUUCAACGGCAUUUGUUUGAAAUUUUAUUUCUUUAUUCGUUGAUGAGUUUAACUAAAUUCAAAUCUAUUGUAUUCAUAUUGUCCUUGUUUUAUCAGUAAAAAUAAUGUUGAUUUAAA